AUUGAAACACCCUUCAGCAUGAGAGAGCACAAAUCAAUGUUAUUGCAGUGAGGGGUAUAUAUACCCCUUUAGUACCAGCUCUUACCAUAUCACCUUGUGCAGCUGGAAAGACCCCGAUAGAACCACGGAACACAGAUCAUCAAAAUGAGAGGGCAGUGUGUCGUGUUGCUGUGUGUGGUGGGCGUGGCCUUUGUCAUGGGCGGAAGUGAAAUGGCACCACCGCCGCCACCAUUUGGAGGACUACUGGAAGACUUGUCGGCUCCUCUGACACUGCGGGACAUCGUGGCGCUAGGCUGCCUCCGAGCUCUCCGAGAAAACGAUCUGCUGGAGGAAGCACUCAACCCAAGGGAACAAACACCAAUGAAACGCGAAGAGCUGGCCACCAUUCUAGGUCGCGUUCUGUCCCGAAAUAGGCGUUCCCCACAUCAGCUCGUGAGAACCUGCCGACCCAUUCUGCUAGGGCCCCCUGAACCAGCGCCUUAAGAUGAGAGCCCGAGGACAAGCUAAUAAAACAUCUGAGAGUAUCAAUGACCGAAACGAUACAAUAAUGAAACAUAUACUAAAGACACAGCCUCCCCCAAGUACAGAAAAAGGACACUGACAACAGCAUACUUAUUAUUAAGAGUUUUUUUCCGAAUAAAUGAAACCUAUUCACUGA